CAACCUCAACUCAUAUGGGGACUACCCCCUGAAUUUAAAGCAUAUUAAUUAAGGGGAGGGAAAAGAAACUAACAAGGAAUUUCUUAUAAGCGGGCGAGCGAAAAGAAAUCAAUUUCAGCACUAAGUCACUUGUGCUUAAUGGCCAAAUGUGA
rnacentral:ncRNA from 1 species